CACUUUGAUGUAGAGUAGAUAAGCAUGGUCCCUGUGCAAAGAUGAUACAAAAAUUCAUGGAAUGUUCAAUAUUUAA
rnacentral:snRNA from 1 species